rnacentral:rRNA from 1 species
UACGGAGGAUGCAAGCGUUAUCCGGAUUUAUUGGGUUUAAAGGGUGCGCAGGCGGAAUAGUAAGUCAGUGGUGAAAUCCCCCGGCUCAACCGGGGACCUGCCAUUGAAACUGCCAUUCUUGAGUACAGUUGAAGUGGGCGGAAUGUGUCAUGUAGCGGUGAAAUGCAUAGAUAUGACACAGAACACCGAUAGCGAAGGCAGCUCACUAAGCUGUAACUGACGCUCAUGCACGAAAGCGUGGGGAGCAAACAGG